AAAGCGUGCGCAGGCGGUUUGUAAGACUGUCGUGAAAUCCCCGGGCUCAACCUGGGAAUGGCGAUGGUGACUGCAAGGCUAGAGUUUGGCAGGAGGGGGGUAGAAUUCCACGUGUAGCAGUGAAAUGCGUAGAUAUGUGGAGGAACACCGAUGGCGAAGGCAGCCCCCUGGGUCAAAACUGACGCUCAUGCACGAAAGCGUGGGGAGCAAACAGGAUUAGAUACCCGAGU
rnacentral:rRNA from 1 species